ensembl:snRNA U4 U4 spliceosomal RNA
AGCUUUGCGCAGUGGCAGUAUCAUAGCCAAUGAGGUUUAUCCAAGGUGUGAUUAUUGCUAAUUGGAAAGUGUAUGCAGGGCCUUCAGACUUGCAAGUGGAGCUCUAUUUCUUAACCUGGUUAGCAGUUAAAGGCAUGAUUACUUUCUCACAACUUGGUAAAUUGUACAUUUAUGUUUUAUACAU